UACGUAGGGUGCAAGCGUUGUCCGGAAUUAUUGGGCGUAAAGAGCUCGUAGGCGGUUUGUUGCGUCGGCUGUGAAAUCCCGAGGCUCAACCUCGGGUCUGCAGUCGAUACGAGCAAACUAGAGUGUUGCAGGGGAGACUGGAAUUCCUGGUGUAGCGGUGAAAUGCGCAGAUAUCAGGAGGAACACCGGUGGCGAAGGCGGGUCUCUGGGCAACAACUGACGCUGGAGGAGCGAAAGCGUGGGGAGCGAACAGGA
rnacentral:rRNA from 1 species